AGCUCCAAUAGCGUAUAUUUUAGUUGUUGCAGUUAAAAAGCUCGUAGUUGAAUUUCUGGUGGAAGAGGGCAGUCCGACCUUUAUGGUGGGUACUCGUCCUUUCCGGCCAUCCUUGGGUGGAAUCUAUCUGGCAUUAAGUUGCCGGGCAGGGGAUGCCCAUCGUUUACUGUGAAAAAAUUAGAGUGUUCAAAGCAGACUUAUGUCGUUGAAUAUAUUAGCAUGGAAUAAUAAAAUAGGACCGCAGUGCUAUUUUGUUGGUUUGCGCACCGUGGUAAUGAUGAAUAGGGACAGUUGUGGGUAUUCGUAUUCAGUUGUAAGAGGUGAAAUUCUUAGAUUAACGGAAGACGAACUACUGCGAAAGCAUUUACCAAGGAUGUUUUCA
rnacentral:rRNA from 1 species